rnacentral:rRNA from 1 species
CAGUAGCCGCGGUAAAACGAAGGGUGCAAGCGUUAAUCGGAAUUACUGGGCGUAAAGCGUGCGCAGGCGGUUUGUUAAGACAGAUGUGAAAUCCCCGGGCUCAACCUGGGAACUGCAUUUGUGACUGGCAAGCUAGAGUGUGGCAGAGGGGGGUGGAAUUCCGCGUGUAGCAGUGAAAUGCGUAGAUAUGCGGAGGAGCACCGAUGGCGAAGGCAGCCCCCUGGGCCAACACUGACGCUCAUGCGCGAAAGCGUGGGGAGCAAACAGGAUUAGAUACCCGCGUAGUCCCUGUCUCUUAUAC